rnacentral:rRNA from 1 species
UACGGAGGGUGCGAGCGUUAUCCGGAAUCACUGGGCGUAAAGGGCGCGUAGGCGGCCUGAUAAGUAGGGGGUGAAAUCCUGCGGCUUAACCGCAGGGCUGCCUUCUAAACUGUCGGGCUAGAGCACGGUAGAGGCAGAUGGAAUUCCCGGUGUAGCGGUGGAAUGCGUAGAGAUCGGGAAGAACAUCAGUGGCGAAGGCGGUCUGCUGGGCCGUUGCUGACGCUGAGGCGCGACAGCGUGGGGAGCAAACAGG